rnacentral:rRNA from 1 species
AACCUGCGGAAGGAUCAUUACAGUAUUCUUUUUGCCAGCGCUUAAUUGCGCGGCGAAAAAACCUUACACACAGUGUUUUUUGUUAUUACAAGAACUUUUGCUUUGGUCUGGACUAGAAAUAGUUUGGGCCAGAGGUUUACUGAACUAAACUUCAAUAUUUAUAUUGAAUUGUUAUUUAUUUAAUUGUCAAUUUGUUGAUUAAAUUCAAAAAAUCUUCAAAACUUUCAACAACGGAUCUCUUGGUUCUCGCAUCGAUGAAGAACGCAGCGAAAUGCGAUAAGUAAUAUGAAUUGCAGAUUUUCGUGAAUCAUCGAAUCUUUGAACGCACAUUGCGCCCUCUGGUAUUCCAGAGGGCAUGCCUGUUUGAGCGUCAUUUCUCUCUCAAACCUUCGGGUUUGGUAUUGAGUGAUACUCUUAGUCGAACUAGGCGUUUGCUUGAAAUGUAUUGGCAUGAGUGGUACUGGAUAGUGCUAUAUGACUUUCAAUGUAUUAGGUUUAUCCAACUCGUUGAAUAGUUUAAUGGUAUAUUUCUCGGUAUUCUAGGCUUGGCCUUACAAUAUAACAAACAAGUUUGACCUCAAAUCAGGUAGGAUUACCCGCUGAACUUAAGCAUAUCA